rnacentral:rRNA from 1 species
GUAAUGCGUGACCAACCUGCCCCAUGCUCCAGAAUAGCUCUUGGAAACGGGUGGUAAUGCUGGAUGCUCCAACUUGACGCAUGUCUUGUUGGGAAAGUGUUUAGUGGCAUGGGAUGGGGUCGCGUCCUAUCAGCUUGUAGGCGGGGUAAUGGCCCACCUAGGCUUCGACGGGUAGCCGGCCUGAGAGGGCGGACGGCCACAUUGGGACUGAGAUACGGCCCAGACUCCUACGGGAGGCAGCAGCA